rnacentral:rRNA from 1 species
AUUAUUGAAUUUGAAAGGAGUUGUAGCUGGCCUUCCGAGGCAUGUGCACGCUCUGAUCAAUCCACUUACACCUGUGCACCUUUGAGGUUGUCGUCUCCCUCUUCACGGAGGAGCGGCGGGUAACACCGCCGAGACUUCGCCUUUCUUACACAAACUCUUAAAGUUAAUGAAUGUCUUCUUGCUUAACGCAAUUAAAUACAACUUUCAACAACGGAUCUCUUGGCUCUCGCAUCGAUGAAGAACGCAGCGAAAUGCGAUAAGUAAUGUGAAUUGCAGAAUUCAGUGAAUCAUCGAAUCUUUGAACGCACCUUGCGCUCCUUGGUAUUCCGAGGAGCAUGCCUGUUUGAGUGUCAUGAAAUCAUCAACCUUACAGCUUUGUUGUUGUAAGGCUUGGACUUGGGAGUUGCUGGUGGUCUGACCAUCGGCUCUUCUUGAAUGCAUUAGCUAAACUCCCGCUGGUUGGCUUACGGUGUGAUAAUUAUCUGCAUCUGACUGCUGCUGGCAAUGGAACUGGCUUCUAAUCGUCUUCGGACAAUCACUUUAAGAUCUGACCUCAAAUCAGGUAGGACUACCCGCUGAACUUAAGCAU